rnacentral:tRNA from 2 species
GCGCGCGUAGCUCAAUGGUAGAGCAGGCGACUUAUAUUCGUCCGGUUCUAGGUUCGAAUCCUAGCGCGCGCA